rnacentral:rRNA from 1 species
GAUGAACGCUGGCGGCGUGCCUAAUACAUGCAAGUCGAGCGAACAGACGAGGAGCUUGCUCCUCUGACGUUAGCGGCGGACGGGUGAGUAACACGUGGAUAACCUACCUAUAAGACUGGGAUAACUUCGGGAAACCGGAGCUAAUACCGGAUGAUAUAUUGAACCGCAUGGUUCAAUAGUGAAAGACGGUUUUGCUGUCACUUAUAGAUGGAUCCGCGCCGCAUUAGAUAGUUGGUAAGGUAACGGCUUACCAAGGCAACGAUGCGUAGCCGACCUGAGAGGGUGAUAGGCCACACGGGAACUGAGACACGGUCCAGACUCCUACGGGAGGCAGCAGUAGGGAAUCUUCCGCAAUGGGCGAAAGCCUUACGGAGCAACGCCGCGUGAGUGAUGAAGGUCUUCGGAUCGUAAAACUCUGUUAUUAGGGAAGAACAAAUGUGUAAGUAACUAUGCACGUCUUGACGGUACCUAAUCAGAAAGCCACGGCUAACUACGUG